CGAACUCGGAUAUAGCUGGUUCUCCUCGAAAUAGCUUUAGGGCUAGCCUCGUGUAAAGAUACCCGGAGGUAGAGCACUGAAUGUUCUAGGGGCCUUCACCGGUUACCGAAAACUAUCAAACUCCGAAUGCCGGAAUAUUAUACACGGGAGUCAGACUAUGUGAGAUAAGUUUCAUAGUCGAAAGGGAAACAGCCCAGACCGACAGCUAAGGUCCCCAAAUUCAGGUUAAGUGGAAAAGGAUGUGGAGUUGCACAGACAGCUAGGAUGUUGGCUUAGAAGCAGCCAUUCAUUUAAAGAGUGCGUAAUAGCUCACUAGUCGAGUGACUCUGCGCCGAAGAUAAACGGGGCUAAAACCUGAUACCGAAGCUUCGGAUACGCAAGUAUGGUAGAGGAGCAUCGUGUGCGGGCAGAAGCAAAGCUGAAAGGCGAUGUGGACUGCACAGGAGAGAGAAUGUUGGCAUGAGUAGCGCGAGGCAGGUGAGAAUCCUGCCCACCGAAAAUCUAAGGUUUCCUGAGGAAGGUUCGUCCACUCAGGGUUAGUCGGGGCCUAAGCCGAGAGCGAACGCUGUAGGCGAUGGACAACAGGUAGAAAUUCCUGUACCACCGAAGGUUGCAUGAGCGAAGUGGGGACACAGAAGGAUAGACUGAGCACGCCGCUGGUAGAGCGUGUCCAAGCGUCAAGGGAGAUAACGUAGGCAAAUCCGCGAUAUCAAUUCUGAGGCGUUACGGGGAGGCAAAAGAGCCGGAAGCAGUUGAUUUCACGCUGUCAAGAAAAGCCGCUAGCGAGACCCAAGGUGCCCGUACCGCAAACCGACACAGGUAGAUGAGGAGAGAAUCCUAAGGUGAGCGAGAGAACUAUUGUUAAGGAACUCGGCAAAAUAACCCCGUAACUUCGGGAGAAGGGGUGCCUGCUUCGGCAGGCCGCAGUGAAAAGGCCCAGGCAACUGUUUACCAAAAACACAGGUCUCUGCAAAAGCGAAAGCUGAAGUAUAGGGGCUGACGCCUGCCCGGUGCUGGAAGGUUAAGGGGAAGUGUCAUCGCAAGAGAAGCACAGAACUUAAGCCCCAGUAAACGGCGGCCGUAACUAUAACGGUCCUAAGGUAGCGAAAUUCCUUGUCGGGUAAGUUCCGACCCGCACGAAAGGCGUAAUGAUCUGGACACUGUCUCAACAAUAGGCUCGGUGAAAUUGUAGUACCGGUAAAGAUGCCGGUUACCCGCAGCAGGACGGAAAGACCCCGUGGAGCUUCACUGUAGCUUGAUAUUGAGUUUCGGCGUUGCAUGUACAGGAUAGGUGGGAGACAGAGAAAUUAGUACGCCAGUAUUAGUGGAGUCACCGUUGGGAUACCACCCUUGUAACGUUGAAGUUCUAACCAUGUGCCGUGAUCCGGCACUGGGACAGUGUCAGGCGGGCAGUUUGACUGGGGCGGUCGCCUCCUAAAGAGUAACGGAGGCGCUCAAAGGUUCCCUCAGAUUGGUCGGAAAUCAAUCAAAGAGUGUAUUGGUAUAAGGGAGCUUGACUGCGAGACCAACAAGUCGAGCAGGUGCGAAAGCAGGACAAAGUGAUCAGGCGGUAGAAAAUGGAAUUGCCGUCGCUUAACGGAUAAAAGUUACCCUGGGGAUAACAGGCUGAUACCACCCAAUAGUUCACAUAGACGGUGGUGAUUGGCACCUCGAUGUCGGCUCGUCACAUCCUGGAGGUGGAUUCGCUUCCAAGGGUUGGGCUGUUCGCCCAUUAAAGUGGCACGCGAGCUGGGUUCAGAACGU
rnacentral:rRNA from 1 species